rnacentral:rRNA from 1 species
GACGAACUGUCCUAACGUUGUUCGGAAUCACUGGGCUUAAAGGGCGCGUAGGCGGACUCUUAAGUCGGUGGUGAAAUCCUGGAGCUCAACUCCAGAACUGCCUUCGAUACUGAGAGUCUUGAGUCCGGGAGAGGUGAGUGGAACUGCGAGUGUAAGAGGUGAAAUUCGUAGAUAUUCGCAAGAACACCAGUGGCGAAGGCGGCUCACUGGCCCGGUACUGACGCUGAGGUGCGAAAGCGUGGGGGAGCAAACAGG